AGAGUUUGAUCCUGGCUCAGAACGAACGCUGGCGGCGCGCCUAAUACAUGCAAGUCGAGCGAGAAGGUGUAGCAAUACACUUGUAAAGCGGCGAACGGGUGAGGAAUACAUGGGUAAUCUACCAUCGAGUGGGGAAUAACCAGCCGAAAGGUUGGCUAAUACCGCGUACGCCUCCGGAUCUUCGGGUUCGGAGGGAAAGCCACACUGUGAGUGCGGCGCUCCUUGAUGAGCUCAUGUCCUAUCAGCUUGUUGGUAGGGUAACGGCCUACCAAGGCUUUGACGGGUAGCUGGUCUGAGAGGACGAUCAGCCACACUGGCACUGCGACACGGGCCAGACUCCUACGGGAGGCAGCAGUAAGGAAUAUUGCGCAAUGGGCGAAAGCCUGACGCAGCGACGCCGCGUGGGGGAUGAAGGUCUUCGGAUUGUAAACCCCUUUCGGGAGGGAAGAUGGAGCGAGCAAUCGUUCGGACGGUACCUCCAGAAGCAGCCACGGCCAACUUCGUGCCAGCAGCCGCGGUAAUACGAAGGUGGCAAGCGUUGUUCGGAUUCACUGGGCGUACAGGGUGUGUAGGCGGUUUGGUAAGCCUUCUGUUAAAGCUUCGGGC
rnacentral:rRNA from 1 species